rnacentral:rRNA from 1 species
GACGUAGGGGGCCAGCGUUGCUCGGAAUAACUGGGCGUAAAGGGUCUGUAGGCGGUGUGGCAAGUCGGGAGUGAAAUGCUGCGGCUCAACUGCAGCGCUGCUUCCGAAACUGCUGCGCUCGAGUGUGGGAGAGGCGAGUGGAAUUGCCGGUGUAGCGGUGAAAUGCGUAGAUAUCGGCAGGAACACCAGUGGCGAAAGCGGCUCGCUGGACCACAACUGACGCUGAAAGACGAAAGCUAGGGGAGCAAACAGG